rnacentral:rRNA from 1 species
CAGCAGCCGCGGGAAAACAGAGGGUGCGAGCGUUAAUCGGAUUUACUGGGCGUAAAGCGUGCGUAGGCGGCUUUUUAAGUCGGAUGUGAAAUCCCUGAGCUUAACUUAGGAAUUGCAUUCGAUACUGGGAAGCUAGAGUAUGGGAGAGGAUGGUAGAAUUCCAGGUGUAGCGGUGAAAUGCGUAGAGAUCUGGAGGAAUACCGAUGGCGAAGGCAGCCAUCUGGCCUAAUACUGACGCUGAGGUACGAAAGCAUGGGGAGCAAACAGGAUUAGAUACCCGAGUAGUCCCUGUCUCUUAUAU